rnacentral:lncRNA from 1 species
ACGUAAUCGCAUUAAAUCCAAAGCCCAGUAAAAACGUUUUUCCCGUGAGACGAAUUCACGGAAUCACCUACCUGAAGUUUGGAAAGCUGGGAACACUUCAAUGUUCACUAAAAACUAUACUCGCUUCUGCUUUGCCUCUAACGUAACGCCCUCUUAACCAAAGCUGGAGUUAGCAGACCACACGUGGAGCAAUCCCAACUGUCGAUACCCGACAUCGGACGGACGCCGCGGAACCCGUGUCUUAUCGUCUGACAGUCAAAAGUACGUCCACGUGUACGCGUAUAGCUCAGUUACGGCCAUGUGGCAGAAUAUGAGGCGUUGGAUGGGGGCGCCCAUCGACGGCUGGCAGCGGUCCGGCCCCCGGCGCCGUCAGAUGGAACCCAAUCAACGGUCCGCGCGUUUGAAAAUGCUUUUCCAGACAGCGAUGGUAUGCGUUCUCUCUUUUGUUUGUAUGAUAGAAGAGAGGAGAGAGAGAGAGAGAGAGAGAGGGACAAGAAGAAGAAGAAGAGAGAGUUUUAGUGAACUCCCCAGCCUCCGCAACCGGUGCUCCGAGGCUUCGGGGGAGCAAUUCCAUUCCCCCCAAAAUCACUUUUUUUUUCCCCAGCCUUUGCAAAAUUUUCCUUUUUUUUUUGUCCCCGCUGCUUUGCUUUGCUUUGUUUGCUCAAAUCCUCGAGAAGUUCCGCAAAGAAACCCAUUACCGUGGGGGCCAUUUCCCAUUUCUACGCCCUUCUCCUCCUCUUCCUCCGCCUCACUCUACUGCGAUCUUCUCUCUGGUGAUUCUCCGCUGCUUUCGAGUGAUCAUCCGGCUAUUACCGUAAUUCACACCGUCCAAGCCGGGGCUAGAUCAGAGGUCGAGAUUAGCAUCCAAGCUCCUGGUUUUUUUUCUUUCAUCACUGCAUCAUCAUCUCGACAUCAGCAAGACCAGCACCAAAGUUUCCAGCUUACUACUAUUAAGCAGCAGCAGCAGUUUCUUCAUCUCCUCCUUCUUCGUCUUCUUCGUCCCUGGAAAGUUAAGACUGAUCUUGAGAUAUCCUGGAAAGAUAAAAGAGAGUUACCUGGAAGCUAGGGGUCACUGUUUUGAGCUGCUUGAUCUUGUUGCGUUUUUCCUGGCUGUGCUCUGAGCUCUGAUUGAUUCCUGCUCCUCCUCUUUCUUUCUUUUCCUUCUUUUUUCCUUCCUUGCUGGGCACACUGCUGCUAAUGAUGCAGUAGUAGCAGCAGCCGGAGCAGCAUCAGAUCAGUGCUUUGCUGAUUCACUUGCUUAGUCUUGGCUUGAGCACUAAGUCAGUCCGGUUGAGCAGCACCUUGAGUUGAGUGAUUGCAAGAGCUUGAUGAUUAUCUUCUUCGUAAUAAUGCGUUUCUUUGCUUUGCUCUGACCUGGAUUCCAAUCCAAGCUCUCGUCUCGCAUAGCUCUUGCUCCUUCCUCCCGUGGCCUGUGUGAUUUCUUGAGCUCUAAGCCAUUCGAUCUCCCUUCUUUUUGUGCAGUGUUUGAGUUAAGUUGAGCCCAGCAGUACGACUCUUCAGUGAUGUGCCAGCGGAUUAGCGUUUAAAGUCCA